rnacentral:lncRNA from 1 species
GUGGCCACAUUCCGGACUGAUCGACAUUAGGAGAUGGUGACUCACCCUCGAGUGGUUUUGAUACUAGAAAAUAUGUAUCUAAACCAACCAAGGAUGAUGAAAUUUGAUCACCUCAUGAAGGGAGAAAAAUUCCGGGCUUAUCAACAUUUUACAUUCAAGUGCCGGAAAAGUCCCUGAUAGACCCGUUCGACUAUAAAGAGUCGGGGAUCGGUCCACACAGGAUCAUUCGUCAGUGUCAUUUAGCCAGUCACAUUGUGCCCUUUCAGCUCCAGUGAAAUCUAUCAUUUCAAGAUGAUGCUAAGCUCAGCAGUUGUAUCUGUGGCCUUACUUUUUGCUCUGGGCGUAUUCAAGGAGACCUAUGGUCUUCACAUUCCUAAACUGCACCAGGCCCAUAUGAACCAACUUCACCAGCCCAUAUGGAAUCACUCACUGCACUACGGCGAGCACAAACCCAACGAAUAUGUGCUUUACCAGACAGUCAUAAGCUCGGAAGAAGGCGACUAUAGGGAGUACCCAGAGGUAGGCAAGACCAACAACAAAAAAAUCACUGCAAUAGAAAUCAUAGAUAAACUAGCCAACGGUAAAUCCGGUUUUGUUUACCAUUACGACGGUGUCGGCAGUACAAGGCCACCUUCAUCUACCACAACAACAAUGAUAGCCUGUACAAAUUCCUGA